GUCUCUUUCAGGAAAAGCAUUGGAGAGGAUUAAAUUACGCAAGUAGAAGUUCACAACAAACAAAAAAUCAUUUAUCAGACAGUGUAUCAUUAAGUCAAAGAACUCCAUGUCACACAGGAAUGUGUCACUGUUCAAAAUUUAUGGGAGCUGAAAGAAUAAAUUGACAAGCUCUUGAACAUGACUAUUUAAUUAUAUUAAUUACAUAGAAAUCAUCUUCAUUUUGGCAUUCUCAGAGCUAAAAAUUGUUGAAGGUUUAGAAUACUUUGGGUAUCCUGAUCUUCAUUCCUGAACAUUUUGACUGCCAUGCAAAAGCAAGGGGAUUAUAAGAGGUAUGGCAUAACUAGUUGCCUCCUGUUGGAAGACAUCUGUGACACAUGUUGUCCAAACUGUAAGUAUUCUUGGGCUCAAAAAAUAGUCUAUUUACCCUGCAUGUAAGGUAUCCACAACAAAAAAUAAAAUACUGUCUAGCUUGGGCUUUCAAUUACUAGACAUACUUGUUACUUGAGUAGAAAUGUUUUCAUGGUUGAAUAAUAAAUAAAGACAUCAAGUUAAUCAACAAGAGUUUCUCUAGUAGACUUUAAUAAAAGAGUGUAAGAAAAAAGCAUCUGUAGAAAUACCACAGCAAGAUUUAAAAAUGUCUUACAUAUACAUGUUGGAAGAAGAGGGAAAGAGAAAGUUUUGCUAAUCACAAUUGCCAGCUAGUAACAAAAAGUCUCAUUGAAGAGUUUCACAGUACUAGAGCAUGUGUAGACACUUCAGUCAGUUAUCAAGCAAGAUCAGGUACAGAAAGAAGAAACCCUAAUAUUCUAGCAAGGUGGUUUUAAUCUCUGUUACAUAAGAUAUUUGCCUUCAGGAGUUCACAUGAAAAGGCAGUUUAAUAUAUGGAACUAAGAUAUACACAUUAGUACUGUUUUACAGUCAAAACUAAAGAACAAAGUAUGAUUAUUUGAAUUUUCCCCAAAACAAGAAAUAAGACUUUGUUGAUUUGUUUGAAAAAGUGAAACAACAUAUAUAUUUGUAUUAGCACAGAUGGAGAUUAAAAUAAUUUUAUGAAAUAAAUUUGGUCACCUUGGCAGAGAAUACCAACAUUUCAAAAAAACCCUGUAACCCCCACACACCCAAAGUACAAGAGACUCUUUUCAUAAUGCAACCCUCCCUUCUCUGGCAGAUACAGAUCAGCAUGUUGCAUAGGAAUGCCUAAAACACGGAUUUCAAAUAUCUCAACGAGCACAGACUAGAAUCCAGGGAGCAAUUUAGAAUUUUCAAGUCUGUCCCUCAAGUGAAAUCUAGAAUGUAAGCCCCAGUCAGAAACUAGAAAAGCCUUGUAUCUUCUAUCUCACUAUUUUCAAGUGAAGGUUGAAAAUUUCUUUUGCAGUCAGACCCUGAAACAGAUCUUUUGAACUACUAUGUGAGCUUCCCCCACCCUCAGAAUGAACUCUUGACUGGAGGCAAGAACAAGGAGGAAAUGGAAGUGGUAACACACAUUGACAGGGAACUAAGAUACAGGAGCGAAAACAGGAGAGAACAGAAAUGAAAAAAUGUUCAUCAGCUCUCUUUAUAAAUUUUUAUUUACUAAAACAUUCCUUAAAAGGUUUCAGCAUUAAGUUAACACUAUAACUUGUAAGCAGUAAUUGACUCUACUAGGAAAGUAAUUAGACCUCUUUGAGAUUAUUGCACAAAAACCUGGCAGCAAACAAUUUGAAAACGCACAUAUAGAUCAGUUUCUGAAACUGAGUUACAUAAUGUUUCUAAAGUACAAAAUAUAUAUUGUUAAAGAAUAGAAAUUAAAUAGAAUUGCUUAAUUUUAAAUCAAGUCCAGCAUGAAAAUAUUUUGAUAUGGCAAAUACCCCAGGACUUGCUGCAUGCAUUCAUAAUGUAGCUAUUUCAUCAUGAGUGUGAUCAUAUUUCCACCCUCUCCCCAAAAUGUAUGAUUUUGACAAGAAACUCAAAACAGACAAAAUAUAAUGUGAAACAUUUUCUUUUAAUAUAUAUUCCCAUUUUGGUAUUUAAUGCUUAAUCUAUAAAUAGAUACUUUCUGACACAAGCAUGAUUUAUGUGUUUUUGUGCUGUUUUAAUAUUAAAAUAUUUUAUAUUAAUAAAUCCAAAGCAGUUCAUUUUUUAGUUCUACUUCAAGUGAAAAAAAUAUUCUAUUUCAUUAAGUAUCAAACUGGAAUUUGUUAUUUAUUAGUAAGUAACUAUAUGUUGAUGACUACUUAAAGACAUAAUUAGUUCCCAAAAGGUAUUGCUUAUCUGAGUGCUAGGUAAAUACUAUAUACAGAUAUUUAAAGAGCAGUGCUACUAUUAAGAAAAGGUUUUGAGUAAUACAGAAGUUUCCAAUAAUUUAUGUCCCGAUUUUUUGUGUGGUGCACUACCAGGAAAAAUAAUUACAGGAGGGUAAAAAAAAAUAAA